rnacentral:rRNA from 1 species
CACGUAGGGACCAAGCGUUGUCCGGAUUCAUUGGGCGUAAAGAGCUCGUAGGCGGUUCAGUAAGUCGGGUGUGAAACCUCCAGGCUCAACCUGGAGACGCCACCCGAUACUGCUGUGACUAGAGUCCAGUAGGGGAGCGUGGAAUUCCUGGUGUAGCGGUGAAAUGCGCAGAUAUCAGGAGGAACACCAGCGGCGAAGGCGGCGCUCUGGAACGUUUCUGACACUGAGGCUCGAAAGCGUGGGGAGCAAACAGG